UAUUUUGAAAAUGCAGAGACUUUAGAGAGACGUGACAACCCUGUUAAGCGAUCAGUGUACGCUCUUCGGCUACUUUCGGGCCUUUCGGCCCGACUCGGGCGAAAAGGAGAGGGCUUCGCAAAAGAAGCAUGUUGUUUGCUGCGUGUCAAAUAAUUUAUCGUUGUUGUAUUUAUGGUGUCGUGUCGAACUUUUAACUGGUCCGCUGUUUUAAAUGUAGGUUCGCGGCCCUGUGUAUAAGCUCGCUAUGUUGCAUUUAAAUCUGAAUCUAUCUAUAAGAGACAUGCACACAUAGACAAAACUUCCGUGAGCCCAACCAAUCCUGUUUAAAAUAAUUUUUAGUUUUGUCUUGUCAAAAAGAGAGUGCGGACGUGCCUAAUAUUGAGAAAAAAAUAGUGUGCAGCAGCACGGUUGACGAUGAGUUCUUCAGAGACAAGAAAAAAUAAGGAAAAGAGAACAUACACAGAAAAAGAUUUAAAAAAAGCAUUAAAUGAAAUUCAAGAGAAGAAUAUGCUAUUCCCAAGACCACAAUAUUGGACAAAAUCAGUGGGCGCAGACCAGAUGGAGUAAAGAAACCGGGACCGGAACCAGCGCUAGGAGUAGAUGGUGAAAAAAAGGUAGUUGAAUGACUGCUUAGCAUUUCCAAAUGUGAAUUUCCAGUAAAAAAACAGGAAUUGUUUGAUACUGUUCAGAAAAUAAUUCGAGACGGGAACUGGGAUACUGCAUCUACUCCCACUACGUCAAGUGUUGAAAAAGAAACGCUUACUAAGGAACAAACGCCAGAACCGCCCCCGACUUCUUCGACUUAUACAGCAUCAAUUGCAUCGCUACCCACCUUGUUAGAAAAAUCUCAUCUAAUACAACCAGCUUCAGCAGUUGUUGGAGAAUUAGCACAAAAGAAAACCCCUGAUCCAUUUAAAAACCACCUGAUGCUGCCUGAAAUUUCUAACAAAGCAAGAAAAGAAAAUCAAAGCCCCCCAGCAGCCAUAUCUUCUGCUGCUUGGAGAAAGUAUUAUGAAGAUAAAGAGAAGAUCAAGAAC
rnacentral:lncRNA from 1 species